rnacentral:rRNA from 1 species
UACGUAGGGCGCAAGCGUUAUCCGGAAUUAUUGGGCGUAAAGAGCUCGUAGGCGGUUUGUCGCGUCUGCCGUGAAAGUCCGGGGCUCAACUCCGGAUCUGCGGUGGGUACGGGCAGACUAGAGUGAUGUAGGGGAGACUGGAAUUCCUGGUGUAGCGGUGAAAUGCGCAGAUAUCAGGGGGAACACCGAUGGCGAAGGCAGCUCGCUGGGACGGUACUGACGCUGAGGUGCGAAAGCGUGGGGAGCAAACAGG